GUGCGUACUUCGGCGGCACGUAUACUAAAACUGGAACGAUACAGACAAGAUUUGCGUGGUCCCUGCACGAGGAUGACAUGCAAAUUCGUGGAGCGUUCCACAUUUUU
rnacentral:snRNA from 1 species